CACGUAGGGUGCGAGCGUUGUCCGGAAUUAUUGGGCGUAAAGAGCUCGUAGGCGGUGUGUCGCGUCGGCCGUGAAAACCUGCAGCUUAACUGUGGGCUUGCGGUCGGUACGGGCAUCACUGGAGUUCGGCAGGGGAGACUGGAAUUCCUGGUGGAGCGGUGAAAUGCGCAGAUAUCAGGAGGAACACCCGUAGCGAAGGCGGCACUCUGGGCCGAUACUGACACUGAGGAGCGAAAGCGUGGGGAGCGAACAGG
rnacentral:rRNA from 1 species